UACGGGGGGAGCAAGCGUUGUUCGGAUUUACUGGGCGUAAAGGGCGCGUAGGCGGCCACCGCAAGUCAGUUGUGAAAGCUCUGGGCUUAACCCAGAAAGGUCAGCUGAUACUGCGGGGCUAGAGUGCAGAAGGGGCAACUGGAAUUCUCGGUGUAGCGGUGAAAUGCGUAGAUAUCUGGAGGAACACCGGUGGCGAAGGCGGCAUCCUGGACCGGCAUUGACGCUGAGGCGCGAAAGCCAGGGGAGCAAACGGG
rnacentral:rRNA from 1 species